GAUGAACGCUAGCUACCGUUUAAACAUGCAAGUCGAGGGGCAUCAGGAAGAAAGCUUCUUUUCAAUGCUGGCGACCGGCGCACGGGUGAGUAACACGUAUCCAACCUGCCCUUUACUCGGGGAUAGCCUUUCGAAAGAAAGAUUAAUACCCGAUGGCAUAAUGAUUCCGCAUGGUUUCAUUAUUAAAGGAUUCCGGUAAAGGAUGGGGAUGCGUUCCAUUAGGUUGUUGGUGAGGUAACGGCUCACCAAGCCUUCGAUGGAUAGGGUUUCUGAGAGGAAGGUCCCCCACAUUGGAACUGAGACACGGUCCAAACUCCUACGGGAGGCAGCAGUGAGGAAUAUCGGUCAAUGGGCGCUAGCCUGAACCAGCCAAGUAGCGUGAAGGAUGAAGGCUCUAUGGGUCGUAAACUUCUUUUAUAUAAGAAUAAAGUGCAGUAUGUAUACUGUUUUGUAUGUAUUAUAUGAAUAAGGAUCGGCUAACUCCGUGCCAGCAGCCGCGGUAAUACGGAGGAUCCGAGCGUUAUCCGGAUUUAUUGGGUUUAAAGGGAGCGUAGGUGGACUGGUAAGUCAGUUGUGAAAGUUUGCGGCUCAACCGUAAAAUUGCAGNUGAUACUGUCAGUCUUGAGUACAGUAGAGGUGGGCGGAAUUCGUGGUGUAGCGGUGAAAUGCUUAGAUAUCACGAAGAACUCCGAUUGCGAAGGCAGCUCACUGGACUGCAACUGACACUGAUGCUCGAAAGUGUGGGUAUCAAACAGG
rnacentral:rRNA from 1 species